CACGUAGGGGGCAAGCGUUGUCCGGAAUCAUUGGGCGUAAAGAGCUCGUAGGCGGCUCAGUAAGUCGGGUGUGAAACCUCCAGGCUCAACCUGGAGACGCCACCCGAUACUGCUGUGGCUAGAGUCCAGUAGGGGAGUGUGGAAUUCCCGGUGUAGCGGUGAAAUGCGCAGAUAUCGGGAGGAACACCAGCGGCGAAGGCGGCACUCUGGGCUGGUACUGACGCUGAGGAGCGAAAGCGUGGGUGAGCAAACAGGU
rnacentral:rRNA from 1 species